rnacentral:rRNA from 1 species
ACAUUUCUUAUAGAUUAUUUUAUAGGUAAAACCUGCCCACUGUAACAAAUGAAGGGCCGCGGUAUCUUGACCGUGCAAAGGUAGCAUAAUCAUUAGUCUUUUAAUUGGGGAAUGGAAUGAAUGGUUAAAUGAUUUUUUUCUAUUAUUUUUGUUAUAAUAAUUUAAAAAUUUGAUUUUAAGUGAAAAUACUUAAUUUUUUUAAAUAGACGAUAAGACCCUAUAGAAUUUUAUUUUAUUUUUCUUUAAGUAAGGUAAUUAAUAGUUUAAUUGGGGCAAUUUUAGAAUAUAAAUAAUUUCUUAAAUGUGAUUUUUUAAUAAUCUUUUAUAUUAGUUUAAAAAAAUUACCUUAGGGAUAACAGCGUAAUUACUAUUAAGAGUUCUUAUCGACAUAGUAGAUUGCGACCUCGAUGUUGAAUUAAAUUUAUUUAUGGGAGCAGAAUUUCAUAAAAAUUAGUCUGUUCGACUAUUAAAUUUUUACAUGAUCUGAG